UGUACCGGGGCUAAACAUAUUACCGAAACUGUGGAUGAACCUCUUUAGAGGUUCGUGGUAGGAGAGCGUUCUAAGGGCGGUGAAGUCAGACCGGAAGGACUGGUGGAGCGCUUAGAAGUGAGAAUGCCGGUAUGAGUAGCGAAAGAAGGGUGAGAAUCCCUUCCACCGAAUAUCUAAGGUUUCCUGAGGAAGGCUCGUCCGCUCAGGGUUAGUCGGGACCUAAGCCGAGGCCGAUAGGCGUAGGCGAUGGACAACAGGUAGAGAUUCCUGUACCAGUGCUAAUUGUUUAACCGAUGGGGUGACACAGAAGGAUAGGGAAUCGCACGAAUGGAAAUGUGCGUCCAAGCAGUGAGUGUGAGAAGUAGGCAAAUCCGCUUCUCGCGAAGCAUGAGCUGUGAUGGGGAAGGAAAUUAAGUACGGAAGUUCCUGAUUUCACGCUGUCAAGAAAAGCCUCUAGGAAGAGUAGUACUGCCCGUACCGCAAACCGACACAGGUAGAUGAGGAGAGAAUCCUAAGGUGAGCGAGAGAACUCUCGUUAAGGAACUCGGCAAAAUGACCCCGUAACUUCGGGAGAAGGGGUGCUCUAUUAGGGUGCAAGCCCGAGAGAGCCGCAGUGAAUAGGCCCAGGCGACUGUUUAGCAAAAACACAGGUCUCUGCAAAACCGUAAGGUGACGUAUAGGGGCUGACGCCUGCCCGGUGCUGGAAGGUUAAGAGGAGUGCUUAGCUUCGGCGAAGGUACGAAUUGAAGCCCCAGUAAACGGCGGCCGUAACUAUAACGGUCCUAAGGUAGCGAAAUUCCUUGUCGGGUAAGUUCCGACCCGCACGAAAGGCGCAACGAUCUGGGCACUGUCUCAACGAGAGACUCGGUGAAAUUAUAGUACCUGUGAAGAUGCAGGUUACCCGCGACAGGACGGAAAGACCCCGUGGAGCUUUACUGCAACCUGAUAUGGAAUGUUUGUACCGCUUGUACAGGAUAGGUAGGAGCCGAAGAGACGUGUGCGCUAGCAUACGAGGAGGCAAUGGUGGGAUACUACCCUGGCUGUAUGACCAUUCUAACCCGCCACGCUUAGCGCGUGGGGAGACAGUGUCAGGUGGGCAGUUUGACUGGGGCGGUCGCCUCCUAAAGAGUAACGGAGGCGCCCAAAGGUUCCCUCAGAAUGGAUGGAAAUCAUUCGCAGAGUGUAAAGGCACAAGGGAGCUUGACUGCGAGACUGACAAGUCGAGCAGGGACGAAAGUCGGGCUUAGUGAUCCGGUGGUUCCGCAUGGAAGGGCCAUCGCUCAACGGAUAAAAGCUACCCCGGGGAUAACAGGCUUAUCUCCCCCAAGAGUCCACAUCGACGGGGAGGUUUGGCACCUCGAUGUCGGCUCGUCGCAUCCUGGGGCUGUAGUCGGUCCCAAGGGUUGGGCUGUUCGCCCAUUAAAGCGGCACGCGAGCUGGGUUCAGAACGUCGUGAGACAGUUCGGUCCCUAUCCGUCGCGGGCGCAGGAAAUUUGAGAGGAGCUGUCCUUAGUACGAGAGGACCGGGAUGGACACACCGCUGGUGUACCAGUUGUUCCGCCAGGAGCAUCGCUGGGUAGCUAUGUGUGGCAGGGAUAAACGCUGAAAGCAUCUAAGCGUGAAGCCCCCCUCAAGAUGAGAUUUCCCAUUUCUUCGGAAAGUAAGAUCCCUGAAAGAUGAUCAGGUAGAUAGGUUUGGAGUGGAAGUGUAGCGAUACAUGGAGCGGACAAAUACUAAUCGAUCGAGGACUUAACCAA
rnacentral:rRNA from 1 species